AGAGACCGAUAGCGAACAAGUACCGUGAGGGAAAGAUGAAAAGAACUUUGAAAAGAGAGUUAAAUAGUACGUGAAAUUGUUGAAAGGGAAACGAUUAAAGUCAGUCAUGUUGGUAGGGAAUCAACUUGAUGGUAUAUGGGUUUACUCGUGUUCUUUCGAGUGCACUUCCUUACUUACUAGUUAGCAUCAAUUUUGGUUAUCAUAUAAA
rnacentral:rRNA from 1 species